rnacentral:rRNA from 1 species
UACGUAGGCAGCGAGCGUUGUUCGGAGUUACUGGGCGUAAAGGGUGCGUAGGUGGCGCCGUAAGUCAGGUGUGAAAUUUCGGAGCUUAACUCCGAAACUGCAUUUGAUACUGCGGUGCUUGAGGACUGGAGAGGAGACUGGAAUUCACGGUGUAGCAGUGAAAUGCGUAGAGAUCGUGAGGAAGACCAGUGGCGAAGGCGGGUCUCUGGACAGUUCCUGACACUGAGGCACGAAGGCCAGGGGAGCAAACGGG